UCGGGUGUGGUGUACGGAACACGCUCCCUCAUCUUAAUCUGGCCAAAGAAAUCAGUGAAGGGGGAAACCUGGGUUCGAUUCCCGGUGCCCGAA